rnacentral:rRNA from 1 species
UACGAGGGGUGCAAGCGUUGCUCGGCAUUAUUGGGCGUACAGGGUAUGUAGGUGGUCUCGUUUGUCUGAGGUGAAAGCCUUGAGCUUAACUCAAGAAGUGCCUUAGAAACGGCGAGACUGGAGUACUGGAGAGGGUCGUGGAAUUCCCGGUGUAGCGGUGAAAUGCGUAGAGAUCGGGAGGAACACCAGAGGCAAAGGCGGCGACCUGGACAGUGACUGACACUCAACUACGAAAGCGUGGGGAGCAAACAGG